UGAAUAGCUACUUGCAUCAUUGUAGAAAUGAUGCAGGAUCGACUAUGUCGAAUAAAAUUCUAGGUAGAAUUAUGAUAAUGACAUUGUCUGCCUAUGUGUCUUGACCAAAUUACGUGCCAGCAGUCGCGGUAAUACGUAGAAGACUAGUGUUAUUCAUGUUUAAUCGGUUUAAAGGGUACCUAGACGGUAAAUCAAGCCUAAAAUUAAAUGAAGGGACUAAUUUACUAGAGUUACUUAUGAGGGGGUAUUAAAGUACUGCUGGUGUAGAGAUGAAAUUCUGUCAUACCUCUUUUCAAUAGAAAAACAAUGGCACAGGUAUAGGCGAAAGCAUCCCCUUAUGUGAUAACUGACGUUGAGGGACGAAGGCUUUGUGUAGCGAACAGGAUUAGAUACCCCAGUAGUCAAAGCAGAAAAUGAUGAAUGUCAUAGAUUAGAUAAAUAAGUUUAUUCUAUAAAUGAAAGUGUAAGCAUUCCACCUCAAGAGUAAUUUGGCAACAUUGGAACUGAAAUCAUUAGACCGUUUCUGAAACCAGUAGUGAAGUAUGUUGUUUAAUUUGAUGAUCCGCAAAAAACCUUACCACAAUUUGAAUAUUUAUAUUUUUUAUUGUUUUCUAUUUUCUUCUGAUUUGAUUUUUGAGGCGAUAUGAUAUAUUUACAAGCGUUGCACGGCUGUCUUCAGUUAAUGUCGCGAGACUUUGGUUAGUUC
rnacentral:rRNA from 1 species